rnacentral:lncRNA from 1 species
AAGCAAGAAUAAUUAUACAACAACUUAAGAAAAAUGUAGUGACCAAAAAAAUACUUUUACUUUCAAAAUUUUGACCAUCAAAACAAAUGAAAGGUUAGAAAUUAUUCUAAUUAAUUUAUACUUUUUUUUUCUCUAAAUCUUAAGACUCUCAUAAUAUUAUAAUUAGAUGUCAAAUCUUAAAUCACAUGAUGUUUAGAGUUUAAGAAUGAUUAUUAAAUAGAUAUUUCUCUGUCUUUUAUUAUAAUGGCUAAACGCAUGU